rnacentral:rRNA from 1 species
GAUGAACGCUGGCGGCGUGCUUAACACAUGCAAGUCGAACGAAGCACUUUAUUUGAUUUCCUUCGGGACUGAUUAUUUUGUGACUGAGUGGCGGACGGGUGAGUAACGCGUGGGUAACCUGCCUUGUACAGGGGGAUAACAGUUGGAAACGGCUGCUAAUACCGCAUAAGCGCACAGCAUCGCAUGAUGCAGUGUGAAAAACUCCGGUGGUAUAAGAUGGACCCGCGUUGGAUUAGCUAGUUGGUGAGGUAACGGCCCACCAAGGCGACGAUCCAUAGCCGACCUGAGAGGGUGACCGGCCACAUUGGGACUGAGACACGGCCCAAACUCCUACGGGAGGCAGCAGUGGGGAAUAUUGCACAAUGGGCGAAAGCCUGAUGCAGCGACGCCGCGUGAGCGAAGAAGUAUUUCGGUAUGUAAAGCUCUAUCAGCAGGGAAGAUAAUGACGGUACCUGACUAAGAAGCACCGGCUAAAUACGUGCCAGCAGCCGCGGUAAUACGUAUGGUGCAAGCGUUAUCCGGAUUUACUGGGUGUAAAGGGAGCGCAGGCGGUGCGGCAAGUCUGAUGUGAAAGCCCGGGGCUCAACCCCGGUACUGCAUUGGAAACUGUCGUACUAGAGUGUCGGAGGGGUAAGCGGAAUUCCUAGUGUAGCGGUGAAAUGCGUAGAUAUUAGGAGGAACACCAGUGGCGAAGGCGGCUUACUGGACGAUAACUGACGCUGAGGCUCGAAAGCGUGGGGAGCAAACAGGAUUAGAUACCCUGGUAGUCCACGCCGUAAAC